UUUUCACAGGAGUGUAGACUGUUGGUUUGUAUAAGCUAUGAUCUCUAAAUUUUACACAGCUCUUCUGAAAAAGUUGCCCUAAGGGAAGGGAUUCCACAUUUCAUUUAAUUUCUAAUUCCAGCUUUUGCAAGUUUUGAGCCAGUUGAAAAUGUGGAUUUUUGCUGAUCUGAAUAAUAUAUAUAUGGAUGUAUACAUAUAUUCUGGAGAUACAUAUGUAUAUAUAUGCUGUCCCUGACAGUGUUGGUGACACACCAGUUUACCUGUUUCUUUUGAGUGGUAGAGAUCCCAACCCCAAAUACACUAUUACAGAUGUGGUCUAACAAGUGAUGAGUUUCUCCUCCCUCAGUGUACUGAUGAUGGUGUCACCACAGUCCAGGAUGAUGGGUGCUGUCUUCACCAGACAUCAUGUGAGCUCAGUGCUGCAAGCAAGGACAUUGCCUCACCUGCCCCAGCCCCGAGACGUGGAUCCUGGCAAUCCCUGCAGCCCCUGGAGACUGGCAUCCUCUCCUCAAGAGUUCAUACAACCCAAAUGCUACCUCCAAAGGACAUAUAGUUAAGAUACCCAGAUAGACAAGGUUGGCUUGGACAUUUAAAUACCUGAGCAUACAAAUGUAGAGUGGAUGAGUAUGGCAUAGAAGAUUGCAUUCAAGUCACAAUGCACCACAGAAUGAAGGAGGUGUACCCUAUCCAACUUCCAGUCUCAGAACCUGGACACAAGAAAACACAUGGAGAAUCAUAUUCUUGCAACCACAGAUCAAUUCAGGUAUUUUGGCAGGGAAAAAGAAGAAAUUCAAAGCUGGAGUAGAAGAAAGAGCUAAAAAUUAAUGGACCAUUUUGAAGUUUGAAGGCAAGCAGUUAAUGUUACUCUAUGAGUUCAAUAGUAAUCCAGCAAGUUUUUUCCCAGAUACUGGAUUUGAUGCACGUGUCUUUCCUUAAGAUGCUUUUUUAAUUUCAUCUGUUGAAAGACUAGGGAAAGAAAUUAUGCUUAUAAGUUUGAGUUGAAAACUUUCUUACUAAUAUUAGAAAUAUUUAAAGGGAUGGUUGAAUGCCAGUUUGACUUCUUAAUGUACAGACAUCCAAUAUCUUAGUUUUGCUUAGAUUCCUGAAUUCAUGCAAAUAUCAGUUACCAUCUCUAACUCUGCUUUUUUCACAUGAGAAGAAUGAAUGCUGUUGAGGGUGGUACCACCAGAUAACUGAACAGAAUUAAAUGUUUAGAAUUAGAACUCCAGAAAGUAAGCAUGAAGCAUUAUAUUACUUGAAAAUUACUGUAGUUUCCAUGGUGAAAAAUGUGGAAGGAUUGUAAUACAGUUUGUAGCAUCUAUAAAAAGCAUUAUUUUGAUGGACCAUUUCCUAUGUUUUGAAAUCAAUGAAAUACAAAUGAUUGGAACAUGAUAACAAAUAUGAAUAGGGUAAAAACCUGAGACCUUUACUGCUUGAAAAAAGGGAGUA